GUUAGAAAGAUCAUUGUUCCUAGGUCUUUACAAACAUAUCGCUAGGCCAAAAGUGAUGUGAAAUCAGUGCCAUCUUGCUUACCAAAAGAUAUCACUGAAAGGUGCUACAAGAAUGCUCCCCCAGCAGGGCAUAGUGGUUCAUGCCUAUAAUCCCAGCACUUUGAGAGAUGGAGGAAGGAGGAUCUCUUGAGGCCAGAAGUUUGAGACCAGCCUGGGCAACAGAGCAAGACUCCACCUCAACACAAGCUUUUUUUUUUUUUUUUUUAAUUAACUAGGUGCUCGCCUGUAAUCCUACCUACUCAGGAGGCUGAGGCAGGAGGAUUAUUUAAGCCCAGGAGCUUGAGGCUAUAGUGAGCCAUAAAUGCAUGCCACUGAACUCCAGCCUGGGCAACAGGGCAAGUCUCUUCAAGAAAAACAAUUGCCACCUCAAAUUGACAAACUGAAGAAGACAGACAGAUAACAGUUAUUCUGGUGCCAUGGCCAUAUAGACAAACCAGGUUUUAGGAUUUUCAAAGCCUAGAAUCAUGACAACUGAUCAUGAACCAUUAAAGUUAUGAGCCUUCGCAAAUCAUUGCUACAGAAUAUGCGCAGCAUUCUGUGGAUUGGAGAGAUGUGGCCUCGCUUCGCUUGCCCCUUUCUCCCGAGGACAGUAAUCAGUCAUAAAAACAGCUCUCCUCCUUCAUAUCAAGCCAACAGCUGGAAACUCUUCUGCAAUGUCAAAUUUAGCACGCACCCCUUACUAGGCACUGAACUUAGUCUUGUGGGUCUGCGCUACAGUCUUAAAUGAGUAUUCCCGGGCCAUAGUUUAUCCUUUAUUUUUGCGUUAACAUUCUCAUUGACUUUGGUGCAACUCUAUAAAGGAAGCAAGGAUUGAAUAUCAUCCUUUAAUGCCAAAUUUACUACAGCUGAACAAAAGGAGCGGAAAUCUGGG
rnacentral:lncRNA from 1 species